UGGGGAAUAUUGGACAAUGGGCAGAAGCCUGAUCCAGCAACGCCGCGUGAGGGAUGACGGCCUUCGGGUUGUAAACCUCUUUCAGUACCGACGAAGCGUGAGUGACGGUAGGUACAGAAGAAGCACCGGCCAACUACGUGCCAGCAGCCGCGGUAAUACGUAGGGUGCGAGCGUUGUCCGGAAUUAUUGGGCGUAAAGGGCUCGUAGGCGGUUUGUCGCGUCGGGAGUGAAAACGCCGUGCUUAACACGGCGCUUGCUUUCGAUACGGGCAGACUAGAGGUAUGCAGGGGAGAACGGAAUUCCUGGUGUAGCGGUGAAAUGCGCAGAUAUCAGGAGGAACACCGGUGGCGAAGGCGGUUCUCUGGGCAUUACCUGACGCUGAGGAGCGAAAGUGUGGGGAGCGAACAGGAUUAGAUACC
rnacentral:rRNA from 1 species